CUGUCGAGAAUCGUAGUCACUAGCUGAUCUGUCUGAGGAAUUCACAAAGCCAGCAUUGAUCUACAUCGCAUUCAAACUACUAAAGGUGAAAAAUGAAGUCAACAGUCGCAUUAUGUUACAUUCUGGUGGCCCUUCUUCCGUUGAUGGCUGUCGCGGGCCCACUGGCUUACGGAAUUUGCCAAACCGGAUGCAACGCUGCUGUAGUGGCUUGUUACACCGCAGGCGGGGCUACAUUCGGAACUGUUACCGCCGGUCUCGGAGCUCCUGCCGUUAUAUUGGGCUGCAACGCGGCUCUAGGAGUUUGCAUGGCUGCAUGCGUUGCUGCUGGCUUUGCACCGACCUUGUGAUUAUGUAACUUUUAUUGGGCCGGAUUCCAGCCACUCAAAAUUUUCAGUUUGUUCCCAUGUGUUCCCAUUGACACCUAUUACGCAUAAUAGACCAUGAAAGAUUUGCCAAGAUUAUAGUACCAGUUAAAAGUUAUAUAUAAUACACGUUCGCAAAGAAAA